UCCCGGACAUCGAGGAGCGCCUGCUCACCAAGAUCGAAGAAGAGCUGGAGGCGUCGGUCGCAUGACCUUCGUA
rnacentral:tRNA from 1 species